rnacentral:rRNA from 1 species
GCGGACGGGUGAGUAACGCGUAGGAAUCUACCUAGUAGAAGGGGAUAGCCCGGGGAAACCCGGAUUAAUACCGUAUACCUCCUUCGGGAGAAAGAAGGCCUCUCUUUGAAGCUUUCGCUAUUAGAUGAGCCUGCGUAAGAUUAGCUUGUUGGUGAGGUAAAGGCUCACCAAGGCGACGAUCUUUAGCUGGUCUGAGAGGACGAUCAGCCACAUUGGGACUGAGACACGGCCCAGACUCCUACGGGAGGCAGCAGUGGGGAAUAUUGGACAAUGGGCGCAAGCCUGAUCCAGCCAUACCGCGUGUGUGAAGAAGGCCUUCGGGUUGUACAGCACUUUAAGCAGGGAGAAAAAGUUAUAAGUUAAUACCUUAUAACCGUGAUGUUACCUGCAGAAUAAGCACCGGCUAAUUCCGUGCCAGCA